AACGGGUGAGUAACACGUGGGCAAUCUGCCCUUCACUCUGGGACAAGCCCUGGAAACGGGGUCUAAUACCGGAUAACACUCUGUCCUGCAUGGGACGGGGUUAAAAGCUCCGGCGGUGAAGGAUGAGCCCGCGGCCUAUCAGCUUGUUGGUGGGGUAAUGGCCUACCAAGGCGACGACGGGUAGCCGGCCUGAGAGGGCGACCGGCCACACUGGGACUGAGACACGGCCCAGACUCCUACGGGAGGCAGCAGUGGGGAAUAUUGCACAAUGGGCGAAAGCCUGAUGCAGCGACGCCGCGUGAGGGAUGACGGCCUUCGGGUUGUAAACCUCUUUCAGCAGGGAAGAAGCGAAAGUGACGGUACCUGCAGAAGAAGCGCCGGCUAACUACGUGCCAGCAGCCGCGGUAAUACGUAGGGCGCAAGCGUUGUCCGGAAUUAUUGGGCGUAAAGAGCUCGUAGGCGGCUUGUCACGUCGGAUGUGAAAGCCCGGGGCUUAACCCCGGGUCUGCAUUCGAUACGGGCUAGCUAGAGUGUGGUAGGGGAGAUCGGAAUUCCUGGUGUAGCGGUGAAAUGCGCAGAUAUCAGGAGGAACACCGGUGGCGAAGGCGGAUCUCUGGGCCAUUACUGACGCUGAGGAGCGAAAGCGUGGGGAGCGAACAGGAUUAGAUACCCUGGUAGUCCACGCCGUAAACGUUGGGAACUAGGUGUUGGCGACAUUCCACGUCGUCGGUGCCGCAGCUAACGCAUUAAGUUCCCCG
rnacentral:rRNA from 2 species